UUGUCGACUUCGAUUUUGCUUUUCACGCCGGCAGAGGCAGAACAGUUCGAGAUCCGCCGUUGGCGAAUAUGGGCUAUUGUGGCGUCACGCAGUGGGCCGUCAGCUGAUCCUGAUCGCUGAGCAGAAAUUGGUUGUUCUGUAUUCUGUUAUCCCCAAAAUGUUAAGUACGCUAAUGUGAACUCCUUACGAGAUUCGUUUUCCUCUUAUAAAAAACCACUGCAUGUUGCCUUCUCACACCUCUGAAAAGAGGAAGACUAACAUCGUCCUUUGAAUUUCAAUUCCAAAAUGCAGUUUGGAUAACUAUUCGUCAAUGGUGAGGAAUAGUUCGAAUAAUGAUUCUCAAAAUUUUCAUAUCAUUUCUUAAUUUAAAAUUAAACCUAGCCUGCUAUUUCAGUACUCACUACUCACUCAUAACUAGGCAAUAGACGAUAGCUCAGUGGCAGUAGUCCUGUAAGCUGUAACCAAUGUCAAAGAGCCAAGAACCAAAAAUCUGAAAAUAACUAAAAUUUAUUUUUCAAAACACCGUAAUCAAUAAUUUUCGAAAGACAAUUGAUGGAUCCGCAAUAACAAAUUAUAUCGGUAAUAUCAGAUACGGAUCAAGCCUCCGACAAGUUCGGAUUUAUUUUCGAUCUGGGAAUUUUUUGGUCCUACUUGAAUGGAAUUCCGGGCGAUAUAGAUUGCUCCAAAAUACUCAUUAAUACUAACAAUAGGUUGCAACCCUCACUUAUAUCCCAUUAAGCAACAAAAUGUUACGUGGAACACUACUGCCGUCAAUAUAUCCAAAAUUAAAUGAAUUGAAUUACACAGAAGAAAACAAAUUGAUUACACGACGUUUUAUAUUUUAUUGUGCUUCUGUUUUUUACGAGCUUUGAGUACAUGCCCACAAUAUAGGAGCAAAUAACCAAUACAGAAGCCGGUCGAGUGCCAUUUGCCGGUGUUCUUCACAAGUCGUGGAAUUAUAUUUACCAAAAAGUAUGGACGAGGCGCGAGUCACGUAGAAUACGAAAAUUUACGAUUUGACACGUCGUGUAAAAAUCACUCGCGGUUCCGAAGCGUAGCACAUCUUUGCAAUUCCGACAAAGUUGACCAUCUUGCUCAAUUACAUGACUUUUAAUCAUUACACCCCACACACAUUCAUUCAGAAAUAUUGGAAAUGGGACGGGAACAAUGUAAAGGGGGCAGUUGGGAGACAAACUGAGUGAACUGGGGACAGAUGCAAAAUAUGAAUAGACGAGAAAAAGGAAAAACAAGUCAAAAGUCUCUACAAUAAUUAAGGAAAUUAACGGGUGAGAAACAAACAAAAGAAAAACGAAAAUAUCAACUUCCUUCUGUUCCAGGUGUUAAAUCCAAAGGUAAAUCCAUCGAUCCUCUCACAGCAAAAUAGAAAAAAAAAAAUAUCCGUUCUUCAAUUUCCGGCUACUGAGACCUGAAGAGACGCAAGGAACGAUCCGUACAAGACGAGAGGAGGGCCCAACAAGAGUUACGAUCACUUCACACCAACGGCAAGACGACAAACCGAA